rnacentral:lncRNA from 10 species
ACAGACUCCGACCGGAACUGACAGCGCGGCCUCCAGGAUUGAAGCCAUCCCUGGCUUGAAGCCUAAGGAGAUUUGCUAGUUUGAGUCCUGGGAGAUGAGAUGGGGAAGAUGGGCCCAAGCUGCAACAUGAAGGUCCAUGAUGAACAGUUGGCAUCUCCUACAGUGCCUGCCACUUGCUGCACAUCAUUGAGCAAGAGGGACACCAUGGAUAAUGGAAAGAUCUACGGCAAGGCUGGCUGUCUGCCCUGUCUAAGGAGGACGUACUGGACCAUCCUGCUCUGCACAUCCAGAUGUGUCCAUGAAUACAUCCAUAAAACGAUGGCCUGUGGAAUCCUAUAGGAAAAUGAUCCAGAGCCUGGGCGGUCAGAAGGAACAAACACUUGAUUUACAAAAUAAAUCUUCUAUGUUUAUGUUUUAAAGACACACAGAGGAAAAACAUUUUUAAAUUCAUGAUUUCCCCCCCCAGAUUUUAACUAUUGUAAUCUCUUUCUUUCCUGAGCCUUAGGCAUCUUCAUUAUAAACCAAAAGAUAUAACUUGAGAUUUUCCCAGGGUUUAUAUACUCGUUAGAGUUGGAAACAUGAAAAUGGCAAUUUGGGAUGUCUCUUUGGAGUCAAAAACCUUAUAAAAAUAUAAUGUACUU